GAGAGUUUACUCUCUUCGGUGGCGAGUGGCGGACGGGUGAGUAAUGCUAAGGAAUCUACCUUUUAGUCUAGGAUAACUACCCGAAAGGGUGGCUAAUACUGGAUGUGGACUACGGUUUAAAGCAGGGGAUCUUCGGACCUUGCGCUAAGAGAUGAGCCUAUGUGGGAUUAGCUAGUUGGUGAGGUAACGGCUCACCAAGGCGACGAUCUCUAG
rnacentral:rRNA from 1 species